rnacentral:rRNA from 1 species
CCUACGGGAGGCAGCAGUAGGGAAUUUUCGGCAAUGGGGGGAACCCUGACCGAGCAACGCCGCGUGAACGAAGAAGUUAUUCGUAAUGUAAAGUUCUUUUAACCGGGAAGAAAGAGAAAUUUUACGGUACCUGACGAAUAAGCCUCGGCUAACUACGUGCCAGCAGCCGAGGUAGUACGUAGGGCGCGAGCGUUAUCCGGAAUUAUUGGGCGUAAAGGGGGCGUAGCGAGCAUAGUACGUCUUUUGUAAAAAUGCUGGGCUCAACCCAGUAGGGCAAAAGAUACUGCAAAGCUAGAGUAUGACAGAGGCGAGUGGAACUACAGGUGUAGCGGUAAAAUGCGUAGAUAUAUGUAAGAACACCAGUGGCGAAGGCGGCUUGCUGGGUCGAUACUGACAUUGAGGCACGAAAGCGUGGGGAGCAAACAGGAUUAGAUACCCCAGUAGUC